CUUAGGCCAGAGUCUAACGGCCCAGCAGGCCAACGACCCCUUCACCUCCCAGCCCCAGGGCGAAAGGGUGGACCGAACAGGGCCCAGGGAUCCUGGGCCAGAGGAGCGGGCUCACACCAGUCCCCAGACCCGCCUCCCGACCUACCCAGGUUUUACCGGCGAGGAAACAGGCUCCAGGACUCCGCUUUGAGGGGAGAGACUCCAACCCCUGUGAGCGGGUGGGGAGGAUAGGGAGGAAGGGGACAAGGGCCGGCAGCGCCGACUUCCAGACUGGACUGUGUAGCGGCGGUCGUGAGAACUGCCGCUGGCUCACGUAUCCUGCACCCACCGGAGGAGAGGUGCUGCCAACAGAGAGAAACAGAGCCACACUGUCCCCACAUAGCAGUAAGAGGAACAGCUGGGCCCAGUCUGGGUUGUACUGCUGGGAAGUGGCUGACUCAACCCCUCCCUGCGGCUACAGCUGGACCCCAGCCCACCCCCUCUGGCCUUAACAUCUGGGCAGGGACCCAGUCAUCAGGGCUGAGAUGGGGACCCUGGGUCCCACAACUGGAGGACAACACCCCUCUGCCAUCCCACUGGCUGGCCACAGCCCUGGGUGGAUCCUGUGCACCAUUACCAUGGAGGAGGACCCUGGAAGGCUCCCUGCAUCCUACAUGCCAACAUCCUGCCAAGAAUUCCUAUCAUGCCCCACUUCUCCCGGUGUCUGUGUGUGUCUUAAGCCUAAGUGAAAAGUGCUCAUAUUUGUGUAGGUGUGAGAUGGUGGGUCUGUGGUUGUAUGUACUUGGGUGUGUGUCUGCUUCCAGUUAUGUCCUGGGACCCUGAAGUUUGUGCAACAAGCUGUGUGUGAUUUGAUGGGAGUCUGGGAUGUGGGAACUAUAACACAUCCCUGUCUGUGUAUAACAUCCAAGGUUAGGAUGACCCAGGAGCCUCUGGAGGGAAUCUCUGUAUGUCCCAUUCAGUUUGCUUGCCUGUGUUGCAUCUACUACAUGCUUCUCUAUAUGGGACCUCACUUUGGGUUUCCAUGUUGUACUUUUGCGAAAAGAGUGUGUGACAGACAAUCAGUGCCUCAUCUUGUAUGACUGACUCUGUUAUGUAUGUCCAUGUCCCUGUGUCCUCGUGGGUUUGUUUCUGUGACUGUAUUCUACUUUGAGCACCCUACUUGUGAUAUCCAUGUGACAGCACAACCGUCAUGUCUAUCUCUACCAUGUGUCUCUGUGCUGCCACAAUCACCACGUGAGAGGUGUGGCUGUGUGACAAAACAAGCUCCAGCGUCCAAGACUUUGUACCAGUUUGUGUUCCACUUUGUCUGUCUUGAAGGUAUUGCUUCAUUCGAAUGUCUGUAACUGCCACCUACCUGUGUAUGAAUAUGGUUCCAUUUGUGUCCCCAUCAAAUGCUAUAUGACUGAUGUGCCUGGUUCACAACAUUCUGCGUCUUCGUCCAUGUGUGACCCUAUCUGUUUCGCUGCAGGGCUGGCUGGGCUAGUGAUGGUUUGUGCCAAUGGGUGGCAGAUGUCUGUGUCCGUGUGGCAUUGUGGGUCUGAAAGUUUGUUUGUGACCUUGUAUGUGGAGGGGAGGAGGUGUUAAAGUCAUAACAGACAGCCAGGCUGAAUGAGCAGAGGCGGUGAUGUACGCAGGGGGCGUCAGGCGCCUGGCAACACUCUGCUUUCCACCCGGAGGGCCCCUCCCCGCGCUGCGGGGGCGCGUGCGUCGUGCGUGACGUGAGACACGACGGGGGUCGCUGCGUGCGUGGAGCUCGACGCGGUUGUGCGUGUGAGCGCGGGGCGGGGAGGGGGGAAAUCGGCUGGCUGCAUGCGUACGCGCCUGUGUGGGUGGCUGGGCGCGUGGGGGCCCGGGGAAGAAGGGGAAUGCUGGUGUAACCCGAGAAGGGGGAGUGGGGUGCACCGUUAACUCCUUCCUGCCCAGCUUGAAACUUUGCGGCCUCUCGACCGAGCUCGCGGGGGCUUCCCCAGUGCGCGUGGGGGGGCAGUCCCUGCUAGGGGAGGAACCCUCACAGAGAUGAAGCCCCCCACCCCCCGUUGCCAUGAGAACCAGAGCUUCCCGUGGGGCCAGGCUCCUGCUUCCUCCUCAUAUCCUGCUCUUCCUCCCGCUCUUCAGUCCCGGGACAAAGCGCUUCCCGCUCCUACGGACCUCCCCAUCCUCCGCCCCCGCCCAGAAGGGGGCUGGGGUCAGCGAGGCCAGGGCGUGAGUGACUCAGGCCAGCCGGGGGUCCCCUGGCCGUAGCUGGCCUCGCUCCUCUUUCUCCACCCCCGUGACUCACCCCUCUCGGCUUUCCCCCUGCAUGACUCAGGUCCUUGGGGAGGGGGCUAAGUACUCUGGGACCCUCCACCAAGGCAGUAGGGGCUGCGAACCAAGUUCUGGGGGCUUCGCUCUCCGGAGGAGGAGCUCCCUUUGCAGCGAGAAGCGGCGUGGUGUCUAUAUCUCCCUGGAGGACUCUCGCUAAGGUCACUAGGGGCGCUUUCUCACCCCCACACACACUCUGCGCCCUGAAUUGGCAAAGCUCUCCCACACACACACCCCGCAGGUCUCCGGGAACCAAGCCCCCAUCCCCUCCCCCCCAGCCCACAGGAAGUUUUGGCAGAGCCCAUCGUGGCGAUGAAACGGUUAAAGCCGUUUUCUUAUUCAUUUCAUCCAGGGGCCCAUUUGACUCAGAUGAGCAAGCCCGCUGCGCCCGCUUGAGCCAGGCCUCAUGGGGGCCUAGGUUCUUACUUCACCCAACAUGUACCAUUUUUAGAGGAGUGGGGGAAAGGUGGUUGGUGAGCCGCCUAGGGGUCUCAGGGUAGCAUACAGAGCUGAGUUUAAAUUCUGUCUCUGCCCUCCUUGCUGUCUGGACCUCAGUUUCUCCAUCUGAAAAUGGAGGAUAGUUAUGUCCUACUGGUUGGGUUGUUACGGGAAUUGAGGUGAAUAAUGGAAUGCUUUGCAUCCAGGGGCAGGGUACAGGAACGGGGUGGGAGCUCCUCUUUUCUCUCAGGCCUGGGUGUCAGGGUGCCCAGUAGAAGUAAGUAUGGUGGGGCAAACCAUGCCCCACCCCGGUGCUCUGAGGCCAUAGGGUUCAUCCUGUCCACCCCCUGCCCAGGGCGGGCACCCAGGAAGUGAGAGGUGGGGCAGGAAUGAGGUGGAACCUGUUAGGCCCGUCGCUUCCCUACCCCCCACUCCCAUUCCGGUGCCCUGACAGGGUUCCCCCAAAAACACUGCAGCACCACCCCUGCUGCCCUGGAAGCCUGGGUCCUGACCUGCGGUUGGCCUGAGGGAGUGGAUAGAGACAGCGUCUCGGGAACAUCCUGUGGACUGCUGGCUGGACAGAGGGAGGGUCAGCCCCUCCCCAGGCAGGGCAGGCAUUGGCUGGGGGCAGAGUAAACAUGGGCCAGGGUGGGGGUAGAAGUACUGUAGGAACGUAUACACACACACACACAUGCACAGAGUCACCCCAAGACAGCCAGUCCAGACCGAUGACCUACUGUUACCCCAGCCACAGAGAGAUUGCCGGCCAGGGACACACGGAGUAAGACAUAACAUCUGUGCAAGAUGCUCCAGAAAUGGCUGCCACACAUAGCCAAUGACAGCAGAUUAAAAAAUGAGACACAUGGCUGGGCGCCAUGCAGCAAGGGUGCCAGCCACACACAUAGGAGUUGGUGGGUUCGAACCCAGACUGGGCUGCCAAACAGCAAUGACAACUACACACAAAAAAAUAGCCGCGCGGGGUGCACCUAUGGCUCAGUGAAUAGGGCGCCAGCCCCAUAUGCCCAGGGUGGCGGGUUCAAACCCAGCCCCGGCAAAACUGCAACAACAAAAUAGCCGGGUGUUGUGGUGGGCACCUGUGGUCCCAGCUACUCUGGAGGCUGAGGCAAGAGAAUCGCCUAAGCCUUGGGUGGCGCCUGUGGCUCAAAGGAGUAGGGUGCCGGCCCCAUGUGCCAGAGGUGGCGGGAUCAAACCCAGGCCCGGCCAAAAACUGCAAAAAAAACCAAAACGGGGCUGCGCCUGUGGCUCAGUCGGAAAGGCGCCGGCCCCAUAUACCGAGGGUGGCGGGUUCAAACCCGGCCCCAGCUGAACUGCAACCAAAAAAUAGCUGGGCGUUGUGGGGGGCACCUGUAGUCCCAGCUACUUGGGAGGCUGAGGCAA